CUGAACCACAGCAUGAUUGAGAAAUCAGGUUUCCAUUCAUAGAAGAGAAGCGCCCUACAGAUAGAAUUCAAUGUCAAUUGUGUGAAGACUUGAGGCAUUGUGCAGUGAAAGAAUUGAACUGUUUACAAGUUAGCGUGAAAUGCAAUUCAGCAGGAGCCUGCAGGGGUCACUCAGCGUCCAGCACAGAGCAGCGCCUACAGGGGGUGCCAUUAGCUAGGACUCUGAAGAUGGAACUCCCUGCUGGAAAGCUGGUGGCAAAAGAGAGACUUUGGAGUAAACACAAGAUUUGGAACAAAAAGAAGAAACAUCUUGUCAGUCUUCAAUGUGGAAAUCUUUGAACCUCAAACUCUUGACAUUCCCACCCAGCACUAAAGAUCAAAUACUUCAAUUUUCUUGAGGGUGUUUCUUAGAAAAGCAACAAAAUUUGUUAUUAAGAAAAGUAUAAGUUGGAUUUGUUAGAAUAUAGGACGUAAAGGAAGCCAUUUAGAGCAGCCAAUUGCUAUAAUUUAUGAAUUUUACUGUUUGUAAAUGUGUCAACAAAAGGAACCUUUUGCUCCUGUCACACAAGAACCACGUCCCUUGUACUCACUUUGUAUUUAGGGAAGGAAAAAAUCACCAUAGAUUCUAGAGGCAUUUGUUGGUAUGUGAAGCAGGUAUGCAAAUUAACAGUAGACAAGAAGGCCAUCUAGAUGAAUGUGUCUAAGAAAAUAUGGCCUUGUCUGGUCCACCAAGGAGGCAGGACCAAGUAGCUUUCAACAGUAUCUGAAACCUCCUCUUCAAGUACAGAGCUGAGUCUGCAGAAUGAGGACUACACUUGCAAUGCACAGUAAGUUCCUUUUCAGCACUGUAAAUAAGUAGAGUUCAAAACGAGUAUACAAGGGACUCUGGUUCUUUUGUAAGUUCAAGAGAGUUUUACUAUAUCAUGGUGACUGCAGAGUUCAAAACAGCAUAUUAUGUACUUGAAAAAGGCUGCCGAAGAUUUAUUUAUUUAUUCAUUUAGUUCUGUAGACACAGGGUCUCACUCUAUAUAGCCCAGGCUGAGUUGUAGCUCGCUUUGUAACCCAGUCUGGUCCUAAACUCACAGCAGUCCUCCUGUGUGGGAGACAGGCUUGAGCCUAGAGUGAAAGUCUUAAUGACAGUCACACAGCAGGCCCGAGGCAACAGGGGACUA